rnacentral:rRNA from 1 species
GACGAACGCUGGCGGCGUGCUUAACACAUGCAAGUCGAACGGUGAAGCGCCUUCCUUUUUGGUGGGUGUGGAUGAGUGGCGAACGGGUGAGUAACACGUGAGUAACCUGCCCCCUUCUUCUGGAUAACCGCAUGAAAGUGUGGCUAAUACGGGAUAUUCUGGGUCUGUCGCAUGAUGGGUCUGGGAAAGAUAUUGUUUCGGUGGGGGAUGGGCUCGCGGCCUAUCAGCUUGUUGGUGGGGUGAUGGCCUACCAAGGCGGUGACGGGUAGCCGGCCUGGGAGGGUGGACGGUCACACUGGGACUGAGACACGGCCCAGACUCCUACGGGAGGCAGCAGUGAGGAAUAUUGCACGAUGGGCGCAAGCCUGAUGCAGCGACGCCGCGUGAGGGAUGGAGGCCUUCGGGUUGUGAACCUCUUGCGCCAGUGAAGCAGGCCUGCCUCGUUUGUGGGUGGGUUGACGGUAGCUGGAGAAGAAGCGCCGGCUAACUACGUG